AACGAACGCUGGCGGCAUGCCUAACACAUGCAAGUCGAACGAGACCUUCGGGUCUAGUGGCGCACGGGUGCGUAACGCGUGGGAACCUGCCCUUAGGUUCGGAAUAACUCCCCGAAAGGGGUGCUAAUACCGGAUAAUGUCUUCGGACCAAAGAUUUAUCGCCUUUGGAUGGGCCCGCGUUGGAUUAGCUAGUUGGUAGGGUAAAAGCCUACCAAGGCGACGAUCCAUAGCUGGUCUGAGAGGAUGAUCAGCCACACUGGGACUGAGACACGGCCCAGACCACCACCGGAGGGCGGCGUGGGGGAAAAUGGACAAUGGGCGAAAGCCUGAUCCAGCAAUGCCGCGUGAGUGAUGAAGGCCUUAGGGUUGUAAAGCUCUUUUACCCGGGAUGAUAAUGACAGUACCGGGAGAAUAAGCUCCGGCUAACUCCGUG
rnacentral:rRNA from 1 species